GAUGAACGCUGGCGGCGUGCCUAAUGCAUGCAAGUCGAGCGAACAGACGAGGAGCUUGCUCCUUCGACGUUAGCGGCGGACGGGUGAGUAACACGUAGGUAACCUACCUAUAAGACUGGGAUAACUUCGGGAAACCGGAGCUAAUACCGGAUAAUAUUUCGAACCGCAUGGUUCGAUAGUGAAAGAUGGCUUUGCUAUCACUUAUAGAUGGACCUGCGCCGUAUUAGCUAGUUGGUAAGGUAACGGCUUACCAAGGCAACGAUACGUAGCCGACCUGAGAGGGUGAUCGGCCACACUGGAACUGAGACACGGUCCAGACUCCUACGGGAGGCAGCAGCAGGGAAUCUUCCGCAAUGGGCGAAAGCCUGACGGAGCAACGCCGCGUGAGUGAUGAAGGUCUUCGGAUCGUAAAACUCUGUUAUUAGGGAAGAACAAACGUGUAAGUAACUGUGCACGUCUUGACGGUACCUAAUCAGAAAGCCACGGCUAACUACGUG
rnacentral:rRNA from 1 species